rnacentral:rRNA from 1 species
UACAGAGGGUGCAAGCGUUGUUCGGAAUUAUUGGGCGUAAAGCGCGUGUAGGUGGGAGAGCAAGUCGCGUGUGAAAGCCCCCGGCUCAACUGGGGAGGGUCACGCGAUACUGCUCGACUCGAAGGCAGGAGAGGGAAGUGGAAUUCCCGGUGUAGUGGUGAAAUGCGUAGAUAUCGGGAGGAACACCAGUGGCGAAGGCGACUUCCUGGCCUGUUCUUGACGCUGAGGCGCGAAAGCUAGGGUAGCAAACGGG